UACGAGGGGGGCUAGCGUUGCUCGGAAUCACUGGGCGUAAAGCGCACGUAGGCGGCUUUUUAAGUCAGGGGUGAAAUCCCGGAGCUCAACUCCGGAACUGCCUUUGAUACUGAAAAGCUUGAGUUCGGGAGAGGUGAGUGGAACUGCGAGUGUAGAGGUGAAAUUCGUAGAUAUUCGCAAGAACACCAGUGGCGAAGGCGGCUCACUGGCCCGAUACUGACGCUGAGGUGCGAAAGCGUGGGGAGCAAACAGG
rnacentral:rRNA from 1 species